rnacentral:rRNA from 1 species
UACGAAGGUCCCGAGCGUUGUUCGGAAUCACUGGGCGUAAAGGGAGCGUAGGCAGCGCGGUAAGUCAGAUGUGAAAUCCCGGGGCUCAACCCCGGAACUGCAUCCGAUACUGCCGUGCUAGAGGAUUGGAGAGGUAGCUGGAAUUCUUGGUGUAGCAGUGAAAUGCGUGGAGAUCAAGAGGAACACUCGUGGCGAAAGCGAGCUACUGGACAAUAUCUGACGCUGAGGCUCGAAGGCCAGGGUAGCGAAAGGG